AUUGAACGCUGGCGGCAGGCCUAACACAUGCAAGUCGAACGGGUAGCGGACGGGUGAGUAGUGUCGGGGAAACUGCCUGAUGGAGGGGGAUAACUACUGGAAACGGUAGCUAAUACCGCAUACCCUCAGAUGUGCCCACAUGGGAUUAGCUAGUUGGUGGGGGAACGGCUCACCAAGGCGCCGAUCCCUAGCUGGUCUGAGAGGAUGACCAGCCACACUGGAACUGAGACACGGUCCAGACUCCUACGGGAGGCAGCAGUGGGGAAUAUUGCACAAGGGGCGCAAGCCUGAUGCAGCCAUGCCGCGUGUAUGAAGAAGGCCUUCGGGUUGUAAAGUACUUUCAGCGGGGAGGCGUUACCCGAAGAAGAAGCACCGGCUAACUCCGUGCCAGCCGCCGCGGUAAUAC
rnacentral:rRNA from 1 species